AGCAGGCUCCGUACUGGAUGCAGAAUCUCCGAGCAGCUCAGGCCCCAGGGCAUCUGGCAGUAGCAGGCUCUUUGCAGACACUCCGGACUACGUGGAGUUUUAGAGCCACGCGGACCUAGCCUAGGCAGAACUCCAUCCCAGGAAAAACGGUCCAGGACGGCCUACCCACGCGUGGCCACUCAGUUGUGUACACGUUGUUUAUUAUAUCCAUGUUCCUCCUGUAUAAAGUAUACCACAUGUUAGGGGGCUUUGGGUUGAAGGCUGUUUUAACACUGUGUUACAUUUAUGCCUUGUCUACUUCUGCACAGGACUGUGGGUGGGUGGGGGGCUUCUGUGAUA